CAGCCUCAGAGCGGAGGCCGUAUCGGGCCCCGUGGCGGCCACGGAAGCGGCGGCAGCUGGAAGCUUGUGGAAAUGGCGGCGCUGGGACGCGGCUCCACAGAGGGAUGGAGGAUUCCAGGGAACUGCUACCUACAGGGCCACGGCACCUUCUCGGAAUGCUUUUUUUGGUACCGGGGAUCGGACCUUGUGCAUAUAAGGCAGGCGACGGAACCACUGAGCUAAAUUCCCGGCCCGGGAUACUUUUUAUCUGUCUACGUAGAGGUUAACUUGUAGCAGUUGUACCUGCCCAGCCACCCAGGGAGGUGUGUACUCCGCAGUAAAUCACCUGCUCCCUCAUCAGCAACUGUGGGUCUAAAUUCAGCGUCCAAUUGCGCAUUAGUGAGUGCAGUCUCACGUUUAGGUCAGAUUGUCCUUUAUGUCACUGAUAUGAGGGCUCCCAUUCGACAGUCAGACUUUUCAGGAAAGCUGAGUUCCAACAAAUUACUUUAUAAAGCAGAAGCCUACGAUAAAGACCAGGAUUUUUCUUUUUUUUCAUUUCCUAGACUUCUCCCACCUAUGAUCAUUGAGUUCAAUAUGAAUAGUAAACGAGCCUUUUUGGCUAGAGGUGGAAUAUUGUUACGUUUAACUUAGAAUAUGCAUCAUGUAACAUUUAAAAAAAAAAUAGUCAAGAGAGACUAAGGUGGAAAGCACAUACUUUUAAGAUUUUGAAAAAUUACUUCUCUCAAGAUUAAAAAAAAAACGUACAUUUUAAGGACAUAUAAGACUUAGUAAAUCUUGGGCUGAAAGUGUAGUUCAGCGGUAGAAUGCUUGCCUGGCAAGCAGGAAGCCCUGGGUUUGAGCCCCCUACAGUGCAAAUAAUAAUCAGUUUUUAGGCACCAUAUUUACUGAUGAACAAUUAGUGUCAAGCACGAGCCAAACAAGGACUUUGAUAAAUCCUGAAAUAAUGGGAUUCGUUUAUAUUUGUCCAAUUGUUGAAGCUGGCUGUAUUUCUCUGUUUACAAAAGGAGUGUAUUGUAGCUUGUUUCUUGAACUGGAUGUAAUGUACAACCGCAUUCAUCCUUUCUUGUAAGUUGUAAUGGCCCUGCAACUGAGAAUUUAUUUGCAUGUCCAACAAUCUUCAACUGAUGAUUAUGCUGAUUUCUUCCAUUUGUAUAUAUACAGUGUUAGAAGGCCGAGGAGACUAAGGAUUUUGUACCUUUGUAAAAAAGAUAAAUGCUUUUAGAAAAAACUACCUCCUAUUAUUAUACCUACAAUGGGCUUCAAGUCUUACCAGUUGGAAAUAGAGUAACAAUUGUGUCCUGUAAAUAUUAAAAUGUUUAAAGGAAUAUAAAUAUAUAAAGCUUAUAGAAACAUAAUGUUAACUUAGAACUUCUCUGUGGCUAAAGAUGGGAAAACAGUGUAUUUGAAUUCAACAGAAGUUUUACUUCACAACACCCUAACGUUGGUAAAAGUGACACUAGGUAACUGUUAACUUGAUCACAUAAUGUCUUCGUGGCCACUGAUAGCAGACAACUGUAAAAUGGUGCUGUCAAGUGGACAUAAUAUUUACAGCUGCAACUUGCCAGGUUACCAGGGUGCACACAGAGCAGGAUAACCAAAUAAUAAAAAAGUUUAUGUAGAUAGGAGGUUCACACUUUAUUUCUCCAGCGACAUAUUUACAGCAGAGUGUAAAUUAGAGGCCUGCUUGCACACCAAACCCAGGUCCUUUAGGUGGUUCAGUCAACGAGGUGAGACCUCC